UACGUAGGGGGCUAGCGUUGUCCGGAUUUAUUGGGCGUAAAGAGCGUGUAGGCGGCCAGGUAGGUCUGCUGUGAAAACUCGAGGCUCAACCUCGAGACGUCGGCGGAAACCAUCUGGCUAGAGUCCGGAAGAGGAGAGUGGAAUUCCUGGUGUAGCGGUGAAAUGCGCAGAUAUCAGGAAGAACACCCGUGGCGAAGGCGGCUCUCUGGACAGUUCCUGACACUGAGGCACGAAGGCCAGGGGAGCAAACGGG
rnacentral:rRNA from 1 species